UGAGCAACCAAGCCCAUUUUUAAGAUCCAGAACCACUGAGGAAACUGAAGCAGUGCUCUUGGCUCUUGGCUGGUGCACCCUCCCUCUGGGGGCCCACAGUGGGUGGUAAUUAUCAUCAGUGAUUGCUUGGUAAGUUAAAUAAUCUGGAUGUUUUAUGCCCUUGAACUAUAAUCAGCUGGAUGCACGUAUCGCCUCAUAGGUCUGCAUGCUGUUGGAAUUCAGGAGCUGAGUGCUAAGUGCAGUCACCCUUUCCCCUUGAUGUGCUGGAUGGUCAUUACCAUAGUCUUGUGGCUGGUUGACCAGCUGUGCUGCAACCCCAUUCAACACCGUAAAUGAUUGACAUAUUCAUGGAGCUGUUCUGACUCUUAAGGUGACUUGGCCUAUUUUUCCAGGCACUGAUUUUCCAUUUUGUCUCUCCAAGCUCAAUUUUGAUUCUUUCUUUUGAAGAUGAGGGUGGCUUCCUGAAGCCUCUGAGUACAUUUUGUUCUGCUGCUGUGGCAUCCUGCCUCCCUAUGGAGAACAUGGAGUAGUCAAUUAAGAUCUGCCACCCAAGGGACUGGAUGGAAGAAGGGCAUGCUUAGAGGAUUUACACUCUGAAGACAGUUACGUUUGAUCUGAAAAUGAAAAAGUGGAGACCCAGCACACGGUCACUGUGUAUAAAUCAGAAAAUGAGCCCUUACCAGAUACCAAAUCUAUUGGCACCUUGAUCUUGGACUUCCCAUCCUCCAGAACUGUGAGAAAUAAAUUCCUGUUGUUUACAAGUCACCCACUCCGUGGUAUUUUGUUAUGGCAGCCCGAACAGACUAAGGUAAGAUAUGACUAUUUCCCAUUCUACAGAUAGAAAAGCUGAUGAGCAGAGAAGAUAAUUAACUUGCCUAUGGAUACUAUGGAUACUACCUAGCUAGUAAAAGAGAGCCAGUGAGCUGGGACUUAAACCCAGCGCCUGUGUUUCUGACACCUUACAUUAAAAGCUAUAUGUCUUCACUCCUGACCCCUGUAAAGCAAUUUCCACCCAUAUCUUUUCCACCA
rnacentral:lncRNA from 13 species